AGCCCUAAAUCUCGAUGUUUCCCAAACACAAACAUCCGCCCGAGAACUACGAGCACAAACGCUUAAAACUCUAAGGACUUGGCGGUGCCCUAAACCCACCUAGAGGAGCCUGUUCUAUAAUCGAUAACCCACGAUCCACCCGACCACUUCUUGCCAAAACAGCCUACAUACCGCCGUCGCCAGCCCACCUUUUAUGAGAGCACAACAGUGAGCUCAACAGCCAACCACCGCUAACAAGACAGGUCAAGGUAUAGCCUACGAAGUGGAAGAAAUGGGCUACAUUUUCUAAACUAGAAAACCCUCAACGAAAAGAGGUUUGAAACUCACCUCUGGAAGGCGGAUUUAGCAGUAAAGCAGGACAAUCAAGCCCCCUUUAAACUGGCCCUAGGGCA
rnacentral:rRNA from 1 species